rnacentral:rRNA from 1 species
AAAAAAGCGUAACAAGGUCUCCGUAGGUGAACCUGCGGAGGGAUCAUUACACAAAUAUGAAGGCGGGCUGGAACCUCUCGGGGUUACAGCCUUGCUGAAUUAUUCACCCUUGUCUUUUGCGUACUUCUUGUUUCCUUGGUGGGUUCGCCCACCACUAGGACAAACAUAAACCUUUUGUAAUUGCAAUCAGCGUCAGUAACAAAUUAAUAAUUACAACUUUCAACAACGGAUCUCUUGGUUCUGGCAUCGAUGAAGAACGCAGCGAAAUGCGAUAAGUAGUGUGAAUUGCAGAAUUCAGUGAAUCAUCGAAUCUUUGAACGCACAUUGCGCCCUUUGGUAUUCCAAAGGGCAUGCCUGUUCGAGCGUCAUUUGUACCCUCAAGCUUUGCUUGGUGUUGGGCGUCUUGUCUCUAGCUUUGCUGGAGACUCGCCUUAAAGUAAUUGGCAGCCGGCCUACUGGUUUCGGAGCGCAGCACAAGUCGCACUCUCUAUCAGCAAAGGUCUAGCAUCCACUAAGCCUUUUUUUCAACUUUGACCUCGGAUCAGGACGGAUCCC